UACGUAGGGAGCAAGCGUUGUCCGGAAUCAUUGGGCGUAAAGCGCGCGUAGGUGGCCCCAUAAGUCCGCUGUGAAAGUCAAAGGCUCAACCUUUGAAAGCCGGUGGAUACUGUGGGACUAGAGUACGGAAGAGGCGAGUGGAAUUCCUGGUGUAGCGGUGGAAUGCGCAGAUAUCAGGAGGAACACCAAUAGCGAAGGCAGCUCGCUGGACGGUACUGACGCUGAGACGCGAAAGCGUGGGAGCAACAGGAU
rnacentral:rRNA from 1 species